rnacentral:rRNA from 1 species
GACAGAGGGUGCAAACGUUGCUCGGAAUUACUGGGCGUAAAGCGCAUGUAGGCGGACGUGCAAGUCAGGUGUGAAAUCCCCGGGCUCAACCCGGGAAUUGCACUUGAAACUGCUCGUCUUGAGUACCGGAGAGGAUAGUGGAAUUCCUGGUGUAGAGGUGAAAUUCGUAGAUAUCAGGAGGAACACCGGUGGCGAAGGCGGAUCUCUGGGCCGAUACUGACGCUGAGGAGCGAAAGCGUGGGGAGCGAACAGG